GUAUGGAUCACGUAACUUCAUAACGACAAAAAAAGCCGUUUCACGAUUCACGUGUCUUAAAAAAGCAAUUUCACGGAAAACUAGAUUCUAAUAAAAAAUUAUAAUAAUAAUAGGUUUAUUAAGAGUAUGUUUAAUGCAUGGUACAGUAUCUACGCUUUAAGUUCUCUCACUUCUCUACCUGUCAGUUAAAAACUACAUCAUAACUUACAAGUUUGAGUCACGAGCAUGUACGACGACCUCCGCGAGUGUCCUCAGCGUCAGGAACCUUGUCCUCAGCGUCAGGAACCUUGUCCUCAGCGUCAGGAACCUUGUCCUCAGCGUCAGAAACCUUGUCCUCAGCGUCAGGAACCUUGUCCUCAGCGUCAGGAACCUUGUCCUCAGCGUCAGGAACCUUGUCCUCAGCGUCAGAAACCUCGCGAAAUGCCUCCGAAGUUUUUACUCUUGUGCAAUCGAGUGAGAUCAUAUAAAUUUGGUUAUCGCAUAUCAUGUUUAUUAUGACUAUUAUAAAAUAGAUCGAAAUAAACAAAGCAAAAUCACAGUUCACGAAACAGACAUCCUUAAUUCUCAUUUCACGGAGGAUUUUUAUCAACAAUCACGCCUCACGGCUGUAGAUUUCACGACACUAAAAUCAAGCAUUUCACAUUUCACGCGAACAAAUAUUGACCAUUCACGUACGGCUCACGAAAAUACCCUUUCCCACCCUCAAAAAUAGGAAAUUUCUUGUUUCAUCCUUUGUCCGCUUAGAUGUUACAGUUGACAUUAGCAAAUAACCGUACAUUCAAAUCUCUCAUUGUUUAGGUAUUUUGUACCAUGCAAGAGAACUGGGAUCAGUUAUCAAAGUUGAACCAGAUGACAUGACAGGGAAGGAUAGUUGAAACUUGGCUUAUUUUUUAGACCAAACAGAAUAAUUUUUUUCGUGCAUAUUUAGGGUCGGCCAAGGGGUUUUGGGUAUACAGGAUCUAAUGGGUAUUUAAUUUGAGUAUACUGUAUAUUUACUUAAAUGUUAUUACCAAUUUUGGGUAUUAGGUAUACAGCUUCUGGUUGUAUAUAUAUGUAUAUAACAAUAUGGGACUGUAAGUAUAUAUAAAAUUAGAAUAUUUUAAUCUCUUUCUAUCUUUAUAUAUACGUUACUUUGCCCUAUUUUUAGCACUGAUCUGUACUAAGACUACAGGGUAUAUUAUUAAAGACAGGAUCACAUAAAUUCGUGCUAAAAGUGAACUUGGCUUGGAAGUGAAACCGCCGCGAUCAUAUUACGUAUCACGCCAUAGAAUUUCUAUUUAUAUUAAAGGACAAUGGCAACAAAAAAUUUUAUUGUUUCAUUUUAAAGAACGUUUAAAAUCAUCUCCAAAAUCUUGUUAUUUAUGUUUCAUAUCUUGCUUGAUUCUUGAAAUAUUUUGACUGAAAGUAAUGAACUGUCCGCCAUCUUGGAUUUUUGAGGGUGGCUCCCUACGGUUAUUCUUGUUUACCCAAUAAUUCCGUAAAACAGGCUUAUUUGUGCAGAACGCGAAUUCGUUUCGACUUGGUGACAACAUUGGUCACCUAAGGAAUAUUUAAUUUCGAACUAGAUUUCGACAACGUCAGUGUUACCAUGGCAACAUGACGACAGCACAAAACCUUCCAAUUUAACCCAUAAAUGUGCCGCUAUCUCAAAAACGAUGUCGGUGACCUAUCUUUUUUAUUUCAUAUAUCAAUAGGGAAUGAUGCUCUGCAACUGUGGUGAAAGUUUAAAAAAAUUCUGUAG
rnacentral:lncRNA from 1 species